UACAGAGGUCUCAAGCGUUGUUCGGAUUCAUUGGGCGUAAAGGGUGCGUAGGCGGCGCGGUAAGUCGGGUGUGAAAUCUCGGAGCUUAACUCCGAAACUGCAUUCGAUACUGCCGUGCUUGGGGACUGGAGAGGAGACUGGAAUUUACGGUGUAGCGGUGAAAUGCGCAGAUAUCGGGAGGAACACCAAUGGCGAAGGCAGCUCGCUGGGACGUUACUGACGCUGAGACGCGAAAGCGUGGGGAGCAAACAGG
rnacentral:rRNA from 1 species